rnacentral:rRNA from 1 species
UACGGAGGAUUCAAGCGUUAUCCGGAUUUAUUGGGUUUAAAGGGUGCGUAGGCGGUCUGAUAAGUUAGAGGUGAAAUCCCGGGGCUUAACUCCGGAAUUGCCUCUGAUACUGUUGGGCUAGAGAGUAGUUGCGGUAGGCGGAAUGUAUGGUGUAGCGGUGAAAUGCAUAGAUACCAUCCAGAACCCCGAUUGCGAAGGCAGCUGCCUAGACUGUAACUGACGCUGAGGCACGAAAGCGUGGGGAGCGAACAGG